rnacentral:rRNA from 1 species
AACGAACGCUGGCGGCAGGCCUAACACAUGCAAGUCGAACGCCCUAGCAAUAGGGAGUGGCAGACGGGUGAGUAACACGUGGGAACCUUCCCUAUAGUACGGAAUAGCCCAGGGAAACUUGGAGUAAUACCGUAUACGCCCGAGAGGGGAAAGAUUUAUCGCUAUAGGAUGGGCCCGCGUUGGAUUAGCUAGUUGGUGAGGUAAUGGCUCACCAAGGCGACGAUCCAUAGCUGGUCUGAGAGGACGAUCAGCCACACUGGGACUGAGACACGGCCCAGACUCCUACGGGAGGCAGCAGUGGGGAAUAUUGGACAAUGGGCGAAAGCCUGAUCCAGCCAUGCCGCGUGAGUGAUGAAGGCCUUAGGGUUGUAAAGCUCUUUUGCCGGGGACGAUAAUGACGGUACCCGGAGAAUAAGUCCCGGCUAACUUCGUG